UACGGGGGGGGCAAGCGUUGUUCGGAAUUACUGGGCGUAAAGGGUGCGUAGGCGGCCUAUUAAGUCAGGGGUGAAAGACGGUGGCUCAACCAUCGCAGUGCCUUUGAUACUGAUAGGCUUGAAUACACUAGAGGUAGGCGGAAUGUGACAAGUAGCGGUGAAAUGCAUAGAUAUGUCACAGAACACCAAUUGCGAAGGCAGCUUACUAUGGUGUCAUUGACGCUGAGGCACGAAAGCGUGGGGAUCAAACAGG
rnacentral:rRNA from 1 species